GACGUAGGAUGCAAGCGUUGUCCGGAUUUAUUGGGCGUAAAGAGCUCGUAGGUGGUUUGUUAAGUUUGGUGUUAAAGCACGGGGCCUAACCCCGGUAGUGCACUGAAUACUGGCAGACUUGAGUGCGGUAGAGGUAAGUGGAAUUCCAGUGUAGCGGUGAAAUGCAUAGAUAUUUGGAAGAACACCGGUGGCGAAGGCGGCUUGCUGGGCCGUAACUGACACUGAGGAACGAAAGCCGGGGUAGCGAAUGGG
rnacentral:rRNA from 1 species